AUAGCUCAGUGGUAUAGCACACAACUCACAUUUGUGAUGCCCUAGGUUCAAUCCUAAU
rnacentral:tRNA from 1 species